rnacentral:lncRNA from 1 species
AAACGAUAGCUAAACAUAUGAAAACAAGUUAUGGCCUUAUGAUCAUGAGUGAUUGGUAGAUUCCUUAGAGACAAGAUUUUCACUUCAAAUUGUCAUGAAAGAUAAGUCAGCAAUAGACUUUAUGAGCUUGUAAUGUGGCUUGACAACGAUAGUUAAAAGAAAUAAAAUUUUCAAGGACAACGCACUUAAAAUCGCAUUCCUUCCCAAAAAUUGCCCCAGUUUUGGACUUAAAACUCGGGACUCUAUCUUGACUCCCUUUUCUUAUCAAUCCUCUUCUUUUUUUUUUUUUUAA